UGGUGGAGUGAUUUGUCUGGUUAAUUCCGUUAACGAACGAGACCUCCGCGUGCUAAAUAGUUCCGCUUACAGUCUCUGUAGGCUGUGGACUUCUUAGAGGGACUUUUGGGUAAUCAAACCAAAGGAAGUUGGAGGCAAUAACA
rnacentral:rRNA from 1 species